GCCCCGCAGCGCUCGGCUUCGUGGCCUUUCCCAGCCCCGUUGCUAGGCCGUGCGGGGCCGCGUGCGCCGGAGCUGCCGGAGAGGCGCCCGCCGAGAGAGCCACCUGUGCGCCCCUCCCCCCGCCAGGCUUUUCCCGCGCGGGUCCCUUGUCCGAGAUCAGAGUCGGGAUGGGCCUCUGUGAAACCCACCCACCGGACAGCGACAGCCGCCCGCUCUCGGCUCUCCUUCGGGUUGGCAAAGAGAGAGGCCCUGCAAGGCCGAGCACAGAGACGCUGGGCAAGCUGCGUGGGUGAAAGGCUCUCCCUAAUAAUGAGCAGACCGGUCCAAUAAGCCCCAAUGAGCUGCUUAUAUGUUUAGGUAAGAGCCUGGCUUGGAUUCACUGCCUUUCUGUUCCUGUGCAGGGACUGCAAGGUAAUGGCUCUAAGUCCCCUUACAAAUUCCCGUAUGCUGGAGCGGCCAUUUACACCUGGACCCCCUUCGACAUCAAAUGAACCUGCAAAACAGACCUCUACAGAGCCACUGGUGCAGCAAAUACAGCGGACUCUGCCUCCUACCCCAUGUACUAAGACAGAGGUGGCCGACAUGUGGCAGGGUGGCACCGGUAACCUGCGCGUGUGACACAGGAGACUGGGACAGCAGAGUGGAAAGAGCUUGUCAGGUAUUUGUCAUAACACAGGACAGGACAUUCAGACCGUGUCUUCCAGGGUGUAUUGGGUGUGCAAGAUUUCAAUUUGCUGUGAUAUUUCGCAACUGUUUACUCAGACAAGCAGAUUUUUCUUUUUCUCUCAAGGUAACAUCAAAAGCCAGUUCUGAUGCUGUAUGUGCUGUAAAGCAUCCAAGAACUUUACCUGUGUGUCUAAGCUGAGCUGCCUGCCAACCUCCCUCACACCUGUACUCAUAAGAGAGAUUGAACUGCUAUCUCAUUUAUAUACAGAAUACAAAGCUAGUUUAGGUUUGUUUGAAAACCUGCAGAAAAAACUUUAUGCUUAAUGCUGCUUGCUGACGAUAAGGAAGGUAGUUCUUUUGUUCAGUAAGUUAUUUCACAUUUGCAAAGCUUGGACUUUCUUGCAUCUCCCUCAGAAAUACCUGAUGCUGCUGGGGACUAAACAAAGGACCAGAUGAGACCCUCACAUGCCCUCAGAAAGCAAUUCCUGUGCUCACAAAGACCUGCUGAAGUCAGUGAGAAUGUGGGACUACAGGAAGGAUCUUGUUUCAACUCACCUCUGUAAUGCAGCUUUGAGAGGGCAUGAGGAGACUGACCAUGUCAAAAUCACGUCUUGGAGCAAGAUGACCCACAAACAGAGCACUGGAUUAGCAGUCAGGAGGGCUGGGCUCCAGGCCUAGGUCUGUCAUUGUCCUGUGGAUGGAGUCAGACAGCCACUGCUCUUCUCUGCAUCUUGAUUUCCCCAUCUGUGAAAUAGGGAUGUUGGUGCUUUGUGGAGCACUCUGGGAGCUAUAGAUGAAAAGGAUCGUACAAACAAUCUGCAAAAAAAAAAAAAGGAGAAUGCCUUUCUAGACACAAUGAUGCAUUCCCAGGUGCGGGCACAAACCACGACUUGUAACGCUAUUUGCACUAUUAAGGAAAAUCAGUCAGGAAGAUUCCAUUUCACUUUUAUGGCUGAAGACACAAUGCACCUCCUUCCAGGAUUGAGGAUAUUGUGUCAUGACUAAGAUGAUAUCAUUCUACUUCACUGUAAAAUGUGCUCCAGGCUGAAACUUGGCAUUCAGCAUCUUGAAAAAGGAGCAGGCUUAUCUGAGAAGAGCUUAUGUAAUGAACUCCACUGAAAGGUUUACAUAAAGAUGCCACUUUGAAAUAGUAGAGACAGGACCUAAUUCUCAUUUAAGUAACUACCUUCUGGCAAAAAAUGUCCUUGGUUUCAAAGGGAGGUAGUAAACUUUUCUACUUCCUGUCGUAAACUGCUCACUCUCGUUGCUGUGAGCUAAUGCAGUCUGUCCUGGGAGAAGUGAAAUGACUCCUGUUAAUUACUGUGAAAUGAAAUAUGACAGAUUAUCUUAUUAUUAGCGAUAAUUACAUUAAGAGUUCCCACUUGAGGAGGGUGGGAAGAAAUCAAGCAAAGAUAGAUCCCAAUUUCAGCAAGCAUCUCUAGUUCAUAGAAUGUGUUAUCAAUUGGCAUGAAUCCUCCAAAUUUCCCACUGAUGCAUAAAGGGUUUGGAUACACCGCUUGACAUGAAACAGAUUUACUCCUGUAAACUGCAUACAUGACUACAGAACCCUUCUAUUUACCACCCACCUUUAGAUUCUAGUUUUCAAGCUAAUUUGUGGCAUUUAUCCAGGCUUAUUAUAGCUUGGAUAUAACCUUGGAUAUUAUCUACUGGCUGUCCUAAAGCCAUAGCAAUAAAUGCCAGAUAUUGCAUGGCAGAUCCAGUACAAUACCUGGGUAUUUGAGCAUGAUCCAAUCUCUGCUGAAGUUAAUGGAAGUUGUUCCAUGGAGUUGGAGCAACCUCCUAAGAAUAAAAAAAAAGGUGACCAAGAGAUUGAAGCUUGGCUUGGAAAGUCAGAAGACCUAGGUUCUAUAUUUACCACAUAACCUUGGGCAAGUCUCUUAGGCUCAACCCUAAGACCCGUUGCUUUGCGCUGGAGUUGGGCAGCUCAUUACCUUUGAGGAUCUGGGCCCCCUUUGUAUCCUGGUUUCCCCAUUUGUAAGAAGUAUCAGUGGGUCCUGUGAGGCUAAAUUCACGGAGGUUUGCUGUGGGUUUUACAUGCUCAGAAGAAAGACCAUGAAUAAGGGAACAGUAUAAUUACAUUGUUGGAGAUACUUUGCACUUUCAAUAUUCAGUACAGGCAGCUGGAGCUAUCGCUCAGUGGAAUUGUACCAGGGAUGCAUUUAGCCCAGAGCCACAGCUUCAGCAAAGAAGAACGCGAAACGCUCCAAUUCCCCCUGUGUUCUGACCCACCAGUAUUGACUGCACAGAUGCGCUGUAGGAAUGCAAAGGCUUGUUUUCUCUAUCCAAACAUUGUGUCAGUGAAAUGCAAUCCAUCCUGAUAUGGUUUAACAAGAGCCCCUGGGAGCACUGUACCUUGGAGGCAUGAUGUCACACCUCAGCAGAGAGAUUAUUUGUUUUGCAGCUUGCGAACAGCUCUGAGACUUCAUUUGAAAGUGCUCCACACAGAGACUCAUGAAUCAAACCUUCUUAGUCUCACAGAAGGGGCACGAUUGACUGCAUAUUCUCCAGUGCUUUCUUUUUCCAAGCUCCCAGUAAGGGAUUAAUAGAUAUUUUCUUUUUUCUUUUCUUUACGUAUAGCAGCAUUGUUAUUGCUUGAAUUCCACCUUGUUCAUGCCACACUGAUAGCUCUAUUGAGACAAGUAAAGGCAGACAUAUAGAAGGGCAAUGGAGCACAAAAACAGACAUCUAUUCCAUUUCAGGUGAAUUUUAUUUUCGGAUCAGCCAGUGGAAAAUUGUUGUAUGAAAGCCUGGUUUGCAUGUCAGAGCAGUAGUUUGAACAGUGUUAGCCUUGUUUCUUUUGUUGUAAUAAUGAGUUUACUACUGGCCAUUCUGCACCUGCCUACUGAAGGGUCUGAGAUUUUCUCUAGAACAACUUGCUGGUGAAUCCAGUACUUCCACCACAUUAGACAGGCAAUCAUUGCAGUUCCUCCUUGCUGUCUUAUUAUUCUCAAGUAUCUAAAGUGAUAAUCAGGGUGUUAACAGCAGCACAGUAAAUCAAACACUGCAUCCUGCAAAAGGAGGAAAUAGUUCUUAAUGGGUGAUUUCUUCAUUGAAUAGCUAAGUCUUAUUCUAUCUGAAUAUGAGGUCUUAAAGACAAAUCCCAGAAGAAAAAGAACCUCUCAUUGUGCAGACUACACUGGUGUUUACAGUCAUGUGAAUUAAUGUGUGAAAAAAUUGCCUAUUGGACUGAAGUGUAGACACUGUGCUGUCCAAAGCUGCUCAGAGCAGGCUUGUCUCCAUUUGGGAGUAAUGUCAGGCAAGUUCUUCAUUUUUCUUCCAGUGUAGACACCUAGCCCCAUGCCAGCAAACACACUGAGAGCCAAAGAGACCUUGUCCACACUCUUAACUGCCAUAACCACAAGCGCAGCUGCAGCAGCAUAAACCUCAAUGGGAAUUUUUUUAGGAAAAAAGUGAGGAGACAUAAAACCCUGAAGGGCUCCACUGCCACUAGCUUGGAGUCUCCCCAGCAUGACACUCGUACACUUUUUUGCUUCAAACAAGAAAUAAAAUACAGAUGUUUAUCAGAAAAUUCUUUGCCUUAAACACCCCCCGGAGCCAUCAUUUCCCAAGCUGCAAACACAUGAUGUAACUCUCAAGCCUUUGGCACUAAUAACGAUAGCUUGUCCCUAGGUAAUGCAAAAGGCUGCGGGAUAGGAUGUUUCUCUUUGGCUUUCCUAUACGAACAUGUUGUUUGUUAGAGUGGAACCAAAGGGAAAGGAAUGUCUGGAUUAAAAGUCUGACAUCUCCAUUGGGAAAAUAGUUUGUUGCCUGGCAGGUUAGACUGGAGAGAGAAAACUAGAGAGAGGGGAAAAGUCAAGUGCUCCAAGGGAAGACCAGAGAGACAGAGCCUGCAACUAAAAAGAUGCUGUUUUUACCCUAAUACUUUAAAAAAGUAAAAUAACAUUCUCUUUGUGGCCACUGAAAUAUACAUUUGUUUUUACCUCCCACUUUAUAUCAAACAUCUGCUAAUUUUCUCUCUCUUUCCAUCUCUCAUUGAUCAUUACUUUCAGCUCUGGUUUAAGAAAGCCCUUAAUAGAUACAGACAGGCUCUUCUAGGGUCCUCUAACAUGUCUAAGUCACCUUUAUAGCCUUCAUCGUUCCUGAUCACUGAGCUGUGGACCAGGCGAGAACAUCCCUGAGUGGAAGCUGGAGAGGAAGGGGAGAGUGAGAUUGCUGAGAGGAGGAGGUCCCCGUGGAAGAGAGCAUCAGGAUGACUUAUAGGAGUUAGAGACUCCAUGUUUCGUGACAAAACAAGAAGCCCCUCCUGAUUCCUCUGUGAAGCACCUGUUCCAUGAACUGCAUGGUGGAUUACAAGAUUGCCAGCACGUUUUCUGAGGAUCUGCACCAUCCACAUUAUUGCUUUGUUUUUAGAUUAGAUAGCAUCCCUGGUUGAGGAUCAAGGCUCCAACACUUAGCAAAGAAGAUCCUUAACCCCAACUGCUCACCUAGGACAUUGCUUCUCAACCAGGGAGUCAUGAGAUCCUUUUAAGGUUAUAUCAGGGUGCCAUAUAAAGUUAGCACUAUUAGGUGUGCAAAGAUGAUUCACAAGAUAAUCCCAGAUAUUUUAAAUAGAAAUCCAUAGUUAUGAGUGUUUGAGUUCUUUGCAAGAGAAAAAUUGUUCUAUUAUUUUUCUGUAGUUAAAAAUAAUAGUGAAAACUAAGAGCUAGUAAAAAGGAAUUGUGGAGAAAGAUCUACAAGCUCAAAAGCAUUGGUUCUGUUGGACUUAACUUGCCAUCUGGACAUCUAGAGAAGCCAGAGAUGUAUGGAGGUAGGCAGGUAGCUUUAGGAGUCCAUCAGGAUAAAGAUGGUUUUUGAAGCCAUGCCUCUGGACAGGUACACCUACAUACAGAUGGAGCCUGAGGGAUGCCCAGUAAAAGAAGAAUAAAGGCAGAGAGAGAUCCACCAAAGAAAUGUUGAUUGAGAGGCAGGAGAACCAAAAAAUGGCUAAAAGCCAAGGGAGGACAAGCUUUUGAGAAGUUGGGACUGGUCAAAGGUAAGCCAGAGAGUAAAGAGGACAAAGACAGAGUUGAGUUCUUGGGCUGUGUCUGGGAAGAGAGCAUUUAAACAGUUUCACUGGAAAGGCAAAGACAGGAGUGUAGGGAGCCAAAGACUGAACUGGAGAAGAAGCCAAAUGCAGAAGUUGUAGAUAGUUUCCUAUAUAUUUGGAGAUGGGGGAAGAGCUGGAGAGGCAGAGGAUUAAGGAUGUAUUUUUCACAAUGGGGGAGACUAAAAUGUGCUUGUAUUGCAUAGGGCAAGGACCUGAAGAGAAGAAUAAGAUGAAAUGAUGAGCAUAAGGCAAGGAAGGGAUGGAGUCCCUGGAGCAGGUGGAAGGUUAGAGGGGGACAUCUGCUCCUUCAUACACUGCAGUAGGAUUUGCUGCUGCCACGGUUGCAAUGCAAUUGUUUGUGCUGCAGUCAAUGUCCCCUUCAUGAUCCCUGCUGUUAUGCAUCCACUACACCUCAAAGGUAGCUCAUCCUUUACAAUCAGGCACGAUCAAGUUCCUUUCCCAAACUGCUCCAAAACAAAGCCCGCACCCUGGGCUCAAAACCCUAUGCACUGCAGGGUUAAAUAGAACCUCCCCUGAUACAAUAGCAUGCUUUUCUCUUCCUUUCUCCUGGCCACCUCUGCAGGAGGUGCUGACAGGAGUCCAGAGCAUCCAGUGUCAAAAGCUUUGCUUUCUGCCUGUGCAGAUACAGAUUCAUGACUUGCUAUUUCCUAACUCCAUAGCCUACCCACCACCUGGCUUGUCCUUUCCCACAUAGUAUCCCAACCUCAAAGUGCAGGUGUUAUCAUAGCUCUGUUGCUAAUGGCACAGUCAGCAGACAUCUCCACCUCACCUUCAGCCUCCCUACAUCUGUUCAUAUUGUGUACUCAAGGUAUAGAUUUAUAAAUUCUUUGGGGCAGGGGCCAUCUUUUGUCCUGUGUCUGCACAGUGUGGAGCAUGGUGGAGAUCUAGUUUGCAUCUGGGACUCCCGAUUCUAUUGCAAAAUAACUAAUAGCUACUGAUUGUUCUGCCAGGUCACCGUGAAGAUGGAGACACAAGGAAGGCUGAUUCUGCAGGGUUGCAUGUCCUGCUGCCUGCUUUUGAAGGGCACCUUUUAAAAAUUCUGGUAUCACGCUCUAUGCAAACUUCAGCUAUAUUUUAUGCAAGAAGCUUGCAUCAUCAUAGGGCUACAGCCUGUUCUAUUAAUGCCUUUCUGAGCUUGAUGUGGAGACACAGAAUAAAUUAUUGUAUCAUGCAGUUUAGGAAACCCAAAUCUUUAGGAAGACAUCCUUCCAGCAUAUCAGCCAGUGUGACUACACCCAGCUCACCAUCGAGAUCCAAGGAAACAUCCACAACAGUAGCACCCACUAAAGACUCCCCAACCUCAUACAAAUACUUGUUUUAAUGUCCAACAGACUGACAAAAUAUCAGGGCAAGCAGUUCCCCUGGAGCAUACUGUCUCCGUGUUCCCUUCUGAGCAGAGUUGUCAUCGUGGUCGUCCAAUGCUGCCAAGCCUGGACAAAAGACACUAAAGAAGUAAAGAGGCUUCCUUCUCCAUUUGGGUGUCCUGCAGCCAGAGCUGUGUCCCUGAAGACAGAGCUGGUUGUCCCAGGACUCAGCUCAGCUACACAAAGCUGGCACUGUGGUACAGGCCUGAAGUGCUGAGUCUUUUCAAAUCAGUAAUGCACAGAGCUACAGCACUAAUCUAACAUUUCAUCACUGCCUAUCCACCAGCUUUGGUAAUACAUCCUCCAGUGCUUUCCUCAGGCUAAUCUGAGACACUUGCAUAAUGCUUUUUAGGAGCUCCAAGAGAAAAUGGUCAGGCUCAGCAAUGUCGCAGCAUUCUCCAUUUUAAGAAAAUCCGUCAGGUGUGAAGUUGGUCCUUCUCAUCUUUGUUUGACCCUUUUCCCCACAGUCCUUCAAAAGUUUCCUGACAGUUUUGUGAACUCUCCUUCAAGUCAGUUUCAAAGAGCUGUGCUGGAAACUGCGGGGUAGGUAUCCAGAUUGCAACAUGAGGACGACAGUAGAAGAGAGCACCAAUCCCAAUGAACCAGUAACAAGAUUGUUAGUAUGAAGGCACAUCAGCAUUGUUACUUAAACCAGAGACACCCAACUUGCUCAAGCACCAAUGCCUCAGUUUCCUGACCUACAUACCCCUUUAGAGUCAUAAACCUCAGAUACAAUGUCUUUUUUCCCCUUCGACAAUUCCCUCUAUUAAAUGACAGGGCAUCUAUCUAAGACUUGUAACAGCACCUAGCACAACAGUAUCUGAACACCUCACGUAAUCUCUAGUCUUCACUAUGGUCCCAUAAAAUAGGGAAGUGCUCUUAGCUUCACUGUAUAGAUGGGGAACAGAGGCAAAGAGAGACACAGGAACUUGCCAAAUGACAGAGAAAGCCAUGGUGGAGCAAAGAAGUAGGCCAGGGCUGCAGCAUGACUACAUGGUUGAUUCUUCUUCUAGAGGCAGAGGAUAGUAGAUCACC